GUGAUUGAUUUGGUGCUAUGGGGAGUGUAGGACAUGGUGACACUGUGCCAAGCAGUGUUCCUGUAAAAAGCCAUGAGAGCGACUCCAUGGACGUGGACGUCCUACCCAUGGCAGACCAGCCACAUGGGAAGAAGCCAUGUCCUCCAUGGUACACAGCUCCUCUCUGCUCAUCUCCUCGCAUGUCCAUUUGAGAGUUUCCACCACGGAGCCACAGAGG